rnacentral:lncRNA from 1 species
AACGAAAAUGGUUUUGUGAUCACAGAACCCACAAUGUUAUAGGUCGACCCAUCAGCAAUGGUCACAGGAAAAGGUGGUUUAUGUAGUCAAAAACUACAAAAAAAUAUUAGAAUUAUUUGUUAUGUGAUCUGUGACACCAGAAUCAAUUACUCAUCUAUUUGAGCAGAUAAAAUAUUUUUUCUCUGAUUCAACAAGAGCAGAAAAUUUAUUUAAAAAUUUUGAAUACUGAGUGAAUUUAGCAUAUUCAUCAACUAAAAUCAUAACAGUUGUCUCAAAAAAUAAGCUAGCAGUAGCAACAACAAUAUUAGUAGUCCAUAUCACCUGACUGCGAUUCUGUAAUUUUUUACAGUAUCGCUUUAUAUGUCUUCAUUCAUAAUAGUAAUAGCAGACAAUAUUAUCACCCAUUUUAAUCCAUAAAUUUACAAAAAUGUUAUCAAGAAUAUCCAAAUACAGUAGCCGAAGAUACACGGAAAACACUACAAAUAAACAAGAAAUUCUAAGAAAACAAAGUAUCUCUUAUCACACGGAAACCAAAAGAACCACACUGCCACCACCGGAGACUAAUUGCCGCCGCAUGCACCGCCGAUAGAGAGUCAUGCGCCGUUACCGGAAAACCGUCUGCCGCUACCAAAAACGCCAACUAACCUCUCUUCGGCUAGAAAUCAGCACAUAACUAAAAUACACACCUAAAUCCGAAAUGUAACUCCCAAAAUCGCCCCAAAUUGCGCGAACUAGAAAAGACUUGUUGUCGCGCGAUCUGCUCAGCCUCGGCUUUCCUCCACUCCGACCUUCUACUUUCAUGCUCAGAACUGGCCGGCUAAGCUUCCCUUCACCUUCUGUCUUGGCACGAGAUAGACACAACACCGUAAUUUCAAAUCGUCGCACAAACAGCUGGCAAACCCAACUCUGCAACUCCAAAUAGCCACCCAAACGGCCUCCUCUUCUUCUGCGUACACCACCGUGCUGGCCGCAUUUUGAACUGGCCGGAUACUGGUGGUUGACUUCCUCCGGCAUCGAGAAUGAGUUGUUUAACCUUUCUUUAAUCUAAUAUAUGUUGAUCCCUAAAACCCUAACCCUAACCCUAACUCGAUACUAUGUAAAGAGUUAGAGAAGAAAAAUACUACAUAUUUCUUAUAUUUCAUUCAUAAGUCUAAGGGUAUACAUAUAUAAAAGAAAGAUCUACAUAUAAAAAUAUUGAAAGUCGACCUAAAAAUGAUGGGGAAAAAAAUUUCUUUCUUCAUUUUUCAAGCACAAUAAUAUGCUUAUUUAUAGAGAAUUCUGUAACAGAAUUCUGGAAAAAGAUGCCUACAGCAAAAGUGGUGGCACGCCUACCUGCAAUUCUAACAAAAGAAAAAAAAAUAUUUUUAGAAAAAUCCUUCCCAAUUACAGACUGUAAAUAGUAAAUUAACUUCCUACAAAUUAACUUCCUACACUAUCCCUCAAUCUAUUUUAGAUAUAUGCUAAGUAAACCUAAAUUGGAUAUGAUUUUCUCAAAUAUUGGUCUCGGUAGUGCCUUUAUGAGGAUAUCAACAACUUGUUGAUUUGUUGGAAUGUGCAUAAGGACUACGGUUCCAUCUUCUAUCUUCUCUUUGAUGAAAUGUCGAUUGAUCUCCACAUGUUUAGUCCUAUCAUGAUGGACUGGGUUCUUGGCCAUACUGAUAGUUAUUGAUUGUCACACCAAAUUUUCAUAGUAGUGUCAGUAGGUAUUUUUAGUUCUUAGAGCACACGUCUUAUCCAUAUUCCUUCACAUAUUCCGUGGGCGAGAGCAUGAAAUUUUGAUUCUGCACUACUGCGAGAGACAACUGAUUGUUUCUUACUACGCCAAGUGACUAAGUUUCCCCAAACAUAUGUACAAUAGCCAGAUGUAGACCUUCUAUCUGUUUUUGAACCUGCCCAAUCAGCAUCUAUAAAGGCUUCAACUUCUCUAGUCACUUUCUUCUGGAAGAAUAAGCCCUGUCCUGGUGUCUUUUUUAGGUAUCUCAGAAUCCUGUACACUGCUCUCAUGUGUAUCUCAGUCUGUUAGUUCAUAAAUUGACUCAUUGUACUAACUGCAAAGCUGAUAUCUGGUCUUGUGUGUGCCAGAUAUAUGAGUUUUCUAACCAAUUUUUGGUACCUCUCUCUAUCAAGUUUGUCACAAUCUUCAAAACCAAGUUUUAUAGUAAAAUCCAUAGGCGUGUCAGCUGGCUUACAACCAAGCAUCCAUGUUUCCUUUAGGAGAUCAAGUACAUAUUUUUGUUGUGCUACAGAGAUUCUUUUCUUUGAUCGUGCAACUUCCAUGCCUAUGAAGUAUUUGAGUGCUCUAAGGUCUUUGAUCUCAAAUUCUUUUACCAAAUAUUCUUUCAGUCUCUGGAUCUCCUCAUAGUGAUUUCCUGUAAUAAUAAUGUCAUCAACAUAUAUAAUCAAAAUUGACUUCUUACUUGAAUCACCAUGCUUGAUGAAAAGAGUAUGGUCAGACUGACACUGCUCAUACCCAACUUCCUUUACUACUCUUAUGAACCUCUCGAACCAUGCUCUUGGUGAUUACUUGAGUUCAUAGAGUGAUUUCUUAAGUCUGUACACCUUAUGAGGGCUCUCAGAUAUUUCAAAUCCUGGAGGAAUAUCCAUAUAAACCUCUUCUUUCAAAUCACCAUUAAGAAAUGCAUUCUUCACAUAUAGCUGAAACAAGAGCCAGUCAAGAUUUGAUACAAGAUAAAACAGUAUCCGUAUCGUAUUAUGUUUGGCAACAGGGGUAAAAAUCUCUUGAUAAUCUAUCCCAUAUGACUGUGUGAAUCUUUUUGCAACAAGACGAGUUAUUUAUCUGUUUAUACUAUCAUCAGGAUUAUAUUUGGUUGUAAAAACUCAUUUAGAUCCUACCUGGUGUUUUCCUAUGGGCAGUUCAGUCAGCUCUCAUGUCUCAUUCUUCUCAAGAGCUCUCAUCUUUUCUUGAAUAACUGCUCUCCAUUCUGGUAUUUGAAGGGCUUCAUGAACAGUUUUCAGUUCUGGAGAGCUUUUAUCUAGUUUACUCACAAAUGCAUGAUAUUCUGAAGACAAAUUGUCAAAUGACACAAUCUUGUAUAGGAUGAUUAGUGCAAGAUCUGGUACCUUUUCUCAAUGCAAUAGGCAGAUCAUCAUCAGUAGUAAGGUUUAAAGCAUUAUUACCUAGUGAAGCCUGGACAAUUGGAAACAAGGUUGAGUUAUGAUAGAGUUCGGUCUCUUCUGCUACUUUCCCUUUCUGAGUCUUGUUCCUUCUAGUAUAGACACGUAACUCAUUUAUUGCAGAAAAUGUGUCCUUAGUUCCUACCACAGAUUCUGGUUCAGGCUCAUUCUGUGUGGAUAGUAUCUAUGAAAGGGUUUGAGUGGACUGGAAUAAGUGAAGAUAUGAUGGCAUCCCAAAGGUGAUAUUCCUCAGUAACUUUCUCCCCUUGAAUAUCACUUUUGGUAUAAAAUGGUUGAUUUUCGAAAAAGAUUACAUCCAUAGUGCUGUAAAACCGACGAGUAUCUGAAAAAAAACAUUUGUAUCUUUUUUUAUUGGAAGAAUACGCAACAAAAAUACACUUGAGAGCUCUAGAAUCAAGUUUGCCCCGUAGAUGAGAAUAAACAUGAAUAUAGGCAGAGCACCCAAAGACUUUUAAGUGAUAAAGAAUUUAGAAUGUGAGAGUUUGGAAAAAACUAUGAAAAAAGCUCAUAGGGUGUUUGAAACUGUAGUAUACAGGAAGACAUUCUGUUUAUUAAAUAGGUGGUAGUAAGUAAGGCUUCCCCCCAAAACUGUUUUGGAACAUGUGAGGUGAAUAUAAUGGAUCGGGCAACUUCAAGGAUGUGCCUGUUUUUCUUCUCGGCUACACCGUUUUGUUGAGGAGUAUAAGCACAAGAACUUUGGUGAAUUAUCCCAUUUUCUGCAAAGUAGUUUUGAAGGGUUAACUUAAAAUACUCACAUGCAUUAUCGGAUCUCAAUACUUGUAUGGUAGUACCGAACUAGGUUUUGAUCAUGGUGCUGAACUUUUUGAAAAUUGCACCUACUUCUGAUUUUUCUUUCAUAAGAAACACUAAAAUGACUCUAGUAUAAUCAUCAAUAAAGGAUACAAACCACUUAUUUACAGAUAUAUUAGUAAUUCUGGAGGAACCCCAGACAUCACUGUGAAUUAAUGAAAAGGGUUUUGAAGGUUUAUAUUUUAGACCAGGAAAUGAACUUUGAAUAUGUUUAGAGAACUGGCAAACUUCGCAUUGAAAUGAAAGUGGAUUUUUAUUCGUGAAUAAUAAAGGAAACAUUCUUUUUAAAUAUAAGAAAUUUAGAUGUUCUAAGCGAAAAUGUCAUAACAUAAUUUCAUUAUCACUACUAGGGCUUCUUGUAAAAACUGAAUUAGCACAUACUGCUUUUGAGUUUGUCCACUAGAGAGGGCAGCUUGAAGUAGGUAGAGACCAGAUUUCAUCCUAGCACUGCCAAUUGUCUUCCCCGAAUCCAAGUUCUGAAAUUCACACAACGUUGAACCAAAUUUAGCAACACAGCUAAGUUCUCCAGAUAGCUUACUUACUGAUAGCAAGUUACAGUCCAAAUUAGGUACAAAGAGAACAGAAUGUAGAGUCAUCUUUGAUGAUAUAAUAACAGACUCGAUUUCAACCACUUUCGAGAUAGACCCAUCAGCAAUUUUAAUUGUAAAACACUCAGAGCACGGUCUGUAAUCUUGAAAUAAGGAAGCAUUACCAGUCAUAUGAUCUGACGCCCCGGAAUCAACUAUCCAGAUCUGUCCACUUGUUGAGCAAGCUGUAAAACUGAGACUAUGAAAAUUCUUACCUUUGUGAGCAACAAUCAGAUUAGCAGAACUCCUGGAAAAUAAUUUCUGGAGCAUCUCAAGCUGCUCAGGAGUAAAAGGACACUUUUCCGCUACUGUCACCAAAUUUCCCUGAAGCUCGGUAGCAUUUUCUAGUCUUGAAGGGUUUCGGUCAGCCGGCUUUCCAUGGAGUUUCCAGCACCGAUCGCACACAUGGUCGGGCUUCUUACAAUAAUCACAAAAGGGCCGACCUUUCUUGCCCCGACUGUCCAGACGCGUCAUGAGGGCAGACGCGUUCUCAACUGCAAUUGUCGUGAUCUGUCCUUCUCCCAUCAUGACUUUCUUCUGACUCUCCUCUCAUCGGACCUCAGAAAAAACUUCACGAAUAUUGGACAGCGGCUUCAAGCCCCAUAUUCAGCUGCGCACGUCAUCGAGAUAAGAGUUCAAACCUAGCAAGAACUUAAAAAUCCGCUUAUGUUCUGUAAUUACUUGAAAGGCUUUUGCAUCGUCCGCACAACUCCAUCGAUGUUCUUCAAACAUAUCAAGUUGUUGGCAACUGCGAGUUAGAAUGUUAUAGUAUUGAGUCACAGUAUACUCACCUUGUCGAAGAUCAGGGAGGGUGGACUCAAUCUCAAAAAUUGUUGAAGUAUUCUCCUUUGUUGAGUAGAACUCUCUCGCGGAUAUCCAGAUUUUGUGUGUUUCAUAAAGAAGAAAAUUUUUUCAAAUUUUCGGUAACAUAGAAUUUACUAGCCACGACAUCAUGAGGUUGUUCUCCAUCUUCCAUGUUUGCGCAUUGGGGUCGGUUGUCGGGAGCAGCGUUGCUUCACCGGUGAGAUAUUCCUCACGGCUUUUGCCCCGAAUGAAAAGCAACACUGAAGACGAAGGGAAGAUAGGCCCCGAAGAGACCUCGGGUGGAGAAGACAAUGUUCGACCAGAAGCCAUUUGCAAUUCUGGCUAACCCAAAAAGCAAUGGACAAGGAUCAGAAUGGCUGCUCUGAUACCGUGAAGGUUGACCUAAAAAUGA